AUUGAACGCUGGCGGCAUGCUUUACACAUGCAAGUCGAACGGCAGCACGGGUGCUUGCACCUGGUGGCGAGUGGCGGACGGGUGAGUAAUACAUCGGAACGUGUCCUGAAGUGGGGGAUAACGCAUCGAAAGAUGUGCUAAUACCGCAUAUACUCUAAGGAGGAAAGUAGGGGAUCGAAAGACCUUAUGCUUUUGGAGCGGCCGAUGUCUGAUUAGCUAGUUGGUAAGGUAAUGGCUUACCAAGGCGACGAUCAGUAGUUGGUCUGAGAGGACGACCAGCCACACUGGGACUGAGACACGGCCCAGACUCCUACGGGAGGCAGCAGUGGGGAAUUUUGGACAAUGGGCGCAAGCCUGAUCCAGCAAUGCCGCGUGAGUGAAGAAGGCCUUCGGGUUGUAAAGCUCUUUCAGUCGAGAAGAAAAGAUUACUGAUAAUACCAGUAAUCCAUGACGGUAUCGAC
rnacentral:rRNA from 1 species